rnacentral:rRNA from 1 species
CCUACGGGGUGCAGCAGUGGGGAAUAUUGCACAAUGGGGGAACCCCUGAUGCAGCGACGCCGCGUGCGUGAAGACGUAAUUCGUUAUGUAAAGCUCUAUCAGCAGGGAAGAAAAUGACGGUACCUGAGUAAGAAGCCCCGGCUAACUACGUGCCAGCAGCCGCGGUACUACGUAGGGGGCAAGCGUUAUCCGGAUUUACUGGGUGUAAAGGGAGCGUAGACGGCUGUGCAAGUCUGGAGUGAAAGGCGGGGGCUCAACCCCCGGACUGCUCUGGAAACUGUAGGGCUGGAGGGCAGGAGAGGUAAGUGGAAUUCCUAGUGUAGCGGUGAAAUGCGUAGAUAUUAGGAGGAAAACCAGGGGCGAAGGCGGCUUACUGGACUGUAACUGACGUUGAGGCUCGAAAGCGUGGGGAGCAAACAGGAUUAGAUACCCCGGUAGUC